GACGAACCGUGCGAACGUUGUUCGGAAUCACUGGGCUUAAAGGGCGCGUAGGCGGACUGCCAAGUCCGGGGUGAAAUCUUUCGGCUCAACCGGAAAAUAGCCUCGGAGACUGGCGGUCUGGAGUGAGAUAGGGGCAGCUGGAACUUCCGGUGGAGCGGUGAAAUGCGUUGAUAUCGGAAGGAACGCCGGUGGCGAAGGCGGGUCUCUGGACAGUUCCUGACGCUGAGGCACGAAGGCCAGGGGAGCAAACGGG
rnacentral:rRNA from 1 species